AAAAAUUAUCUCCAGAAGUCAACAUUGCCAGAGAGUGAAUAAUGACACACAGCGUGGGGAAGGUAGGAUUAAUGCAUUAUUUGAUCAGAAGUCAUGAUUUUUUCCUCAUUAUUACUUAAUCAUGAUGCAAUCCCAGACCUACAAACCUUAAUCUCAGGGGAGCUUCAGAAGUAGUCAGAUGCACAUGUUGGCUGCUGAAGUUCAUGUGGCUUUUUUUGUGGAGUCCAGAAGCUUUGAAGUCACAAGAAGAGAAGAAGAGCUAAGAUCAUGUGCCCGAACCUGAAUCCGUGAUGAUCAUGGUGGACUGCUGCAUGUUUCUGGGUUCUGCACCGGUCACAGGCCAAGCCCCUGCAGUCAAGAUGGC
rnacentral:lncRNA from 1 species